GACGAACGCUGGCGGCGUGCUUAACACAUGCAAGUCGAACGGAAAGGCCCCUUUGGGGUACUCGAGUGGCGAACGGGUGAGUAACACGUGAGUAACCUGCCCUUGACUUCGGGAUAACUUCAGGAAACUGGGGCUAAUACCGGAUAGGAAUCCUUGCUGCAUGGGGGGGGUUGGAAAGCUUCGGCGGUUUUGGAUGGACUCGCGGCUUAUCAGCUUGUUGGUGGGGUAGUGGCUUACCAAGGCUUUGACGGGUAGCCGGCCUGAGAGGGCGACCGGCCACAUUGGGACUGAGAUACGGCCCAGACUCCUACGGGAGGCAGCAGUGGGGAAUAUUGCACAAUGGGCGGAAGCCUGAUGCAGCAACGCCGCGUGCGGGAGGACGGCCUUCGGGUUGUAAACCGCUUUCAGCAGGGGCGAAGCUUGUGGUGACGGUACCUGCAGAAGAAGCACCGGCUAACUACGUG
rnacentral:rRNA from 1 species